rnacentral:rRNA from 1 species
GACGAACGCUGGCGGCGUGCUUAACACAUGCAAGUCGAACGGAAAGGCCCUGCUUUUGUGGGGUGCUCGAGUGGCGAACGGGUGAGUAUCACGUGAGUAACCUGCCCUUGACUUUGGGAUAACUUCAGGAAACUGGGGCUAAUACCGGAUAGGAGCUCCUGCUGCAUGGUGGGGGUUGGAAAGUUUCGGCGGUUGGGGAUGGACUCGCGGCUUAUCAGCUUGUUGGUGGGGUAGUGGCUUACCAAGGCUUUGACGGGUAGCCGGCCUGAGAGGGUGACCGGCCACAUUGGGACUGAGAUACGGCCCAGACUCCUACGGGAGGCAGCAGUGGGGAAUAUUGCACAAUGGGCGGAAGCCUGAUGCAGCAACGCCGCGUGCGGGAUGACGGCCUUCGGGUUGUAAACCGCUUUCGCCUGUGACGAAGCGUGAGUGACGGUUAUGGGUAAAGAAGCACCGGCUAACUACGUG